rnacentral:misc_RNA from 1 species
UGUGUGUGUGUGUGUGUGUUUCUCUUUUUAAUUAACACCAUCUCCCCUCUCUCCUUUUUCUCUUGUUUCUUUUUCAUUCUAGUAACCCUAUGUUUGGAUCAUGUUUGUGAUGGUUUCACAUUAUAUGGUGUGGUUAAUCUAUAUGUUUGGGAAGAUUAUUCCUAAAAAUAGUGAUUUGAGAUGGUUUAGAAUUUUUAUAUCCUAUUUUAUACUGCAUAAUUCAUUCUCUCACGGAAAUGUUAUAUUUAGAAUUUUUAUAUCCUAUUUUAUACUGCAUAAUUCAUUCUCUCACGGAAAUGUUAUA